GCGGAAGUGGUGGAACUGGUAGACACACCAUCUUGAGGGGGUGGCGCCGAGAGGCGUGCGGGUUCAAGUCCCGCCUUCCGCACUA
rnacentral:tRNA from 1 species